rfam:Glycine max cultivar Williams 82 chromosome 10, whole genome shotgun sequence.
UUCUUAUUGGAUUAUGAUUAUCACAUGUCAUGUUCUGAUUGAAUGUCAACUCCAUAAAAGAUGAAAUAAAUUGUUGUUUUCAUUGACCAAUGAGAACAUGACGCGUGAUCCAAUAAUA